AUGCAAGUCGAAUGGUAACAGGAAGAAGCUUGCUUCUUUGCUGACGAGUGGCGGACGGGUGAGUAAUGUCUGGGAAACUGCCUGAUGGAGGGGGAUAACUACUGGAAACGGUAGCUAAUACCGCAUAACGUCGCAAGACCAAAGAGGGGGACCUUCGGGCCUCUUGCCAUCGGAUGUGCCCAGAUGGGAUUAGCUAGUAGGUGGGGUAACGGCUCACCUAGGCGACGAUCCCUAGCUGGUCUGAGAGGAUGACCAGCCACACUGGAACUGAGACACGGUCCAGACUCCUACGGGAGGCAGCAGUGGGGAAUAUUGCACAAUGGGCGCAAGCCUGAUGCAGCCAUGCCGCGUGUAUGAAGAAGGCCUUCGGGUUGUAAAGUACUUUCAGCGGGGAGGAAGGGAGUAAAGUUAAUACCUUUGCUCAUUGACGUUACCCGCAGAAGAAGCACCGGCUAACUCCGUGCCAGCAGCCGCGGUAAUACGGAGGGUGCAAGCGUUAAUCGGAAUUACUGGGCGUAAAGCGCACGCAGGCGGUUUGUUAAGUCAGAUGUGAAAUCCCCGGGCUCAACCUGGGAACUGCAUCUGAUACUGGCAAGCUUGAGUCUCGUAGAGGGGGGUAGAAUUCCAGGUGUAGCGGUGAAAUGCGUAGAGAUCUGGAGGAAUACCGGUGGCGAAGGCGGCCCCCUGGACGAAGACUGACGCUCAGGUGCGAAAGCGUGGGGAGCAAACAGGAU
rnacentral:rRNA from 1 species